GGGGAAUUAGCUCAAAUGGUAGAGCGCUCGCUUAGCACAUGAGAGGUAGAGGGAUUGAUGCCCGCAUUCUCCA
rnacentral:tRNA from 1 species